UAUGUAGUAUCAGAUUUUUGUCAAAAACAAACACUCUCUUACCAACUUCUCUGCAAUCUCCACAAUAAACAAAUGGAUCUUUUCCCUGAGCAGCUUAGUUUCCACAAUCCGUCAUCCAAACAAGAUCUCUAUACCUUGCCUAAUUACGGGACGAAUAAAAAUAUGAGACAGGAGAGUCAUAGAGCUCAAGUGACAAUGUUCUACGAGGGGAAGGUGUUCGUGCUCAGUGAUCUCUCAUCUGAGAAAGCUGAACAAAUCUUACUCUUGGCGGCGCAUGAAGGGACUUCAUCAAAAAUCUACACUCAGCUUAAUCAACGACUAGCUCCUACUACGCCUCACAACGACCCUAAUCAAUGUAAUCGUUCGGUUACGUGCCCAAGUUUUCAGGAAAAUGUAAAUCAAGUCAACAAUUUUGAAGUUUCCAUGGAUCACAUGACUUGCGAACUCCCAAUUGCUAGGAGAAACUCGCUUCACCGGUUCUUGGAGAAGAGAAUAGAUAGGUGUGGAGGACGAGGACCAUAUCAUAGCUCCGGCAACCACUUGGCAGUCGUGUCGCAGCCACGGGUUGAGAAUAAGUGGUGGCUUAAGUAGGCUCCUCAGCCACAUCAUCAAUAGUAAACCAUUUUUGUGUUAUGGAAAUGGUUUUAUGUGUCUUUAUUAUGGCCCGGCUAACUUCAGAUCUGAGACCAUCGAAUUUAGAAACACAAUAAAAGUUUUGAGAGGAAAAUCGGUGAUGAGUCUAGUAUCAGUUCGAAUUUUCCGGGAGUUUGUUUGUUUGUUUCUGGUUUCAAAAUUGUAUCCAUAGACAUUCCCUUAAGAAUAGGGGCUUGUGGGUUGUUUUGUUUUGGUUUUUGUUCAAAAUUUACCGAUUAAGCUCUGUUCUUUGGUGAUUAUGACUAUUUAAUGAGAUAAUGUUCAUCAAAA